rnacentral:rRNA from 1 species
CGGGGGUGCCGCCCGCGUUCAAUCCCAUGCGGAUGCAGGCGCGGAGCGGCCGCAGAAACCAGGCUCAGGCGACUGUUUACUAAAAACACAGGUCUCUGCGUAAGGCGCAAGCCGAAGUAUAGGGACUGACACCUGCCCGGUGCCGGAAGGUUAAAUGGAGAGGUCAGCGCAGCGAUGCGCGAAGCUUUGAGAUGAAGCCCCGGUAAACGGCGGCCGUAACUAUAACGGUCCUAAGGUAGCGAAAUUCCUUGUCGGGUAAGUUCCGACCCGCACGGAUGGUGUAACGAUCUGAGCGCUGUCUCGACGAGAGCCCCGGUGAAAUUGUGGUCCCGGUCAAGACGCCGGGUACCCGUGGCUGGACGGAAAGACCCCAUGGAGCUUUACUGUAACCUGGCACUGGAUUUUGUCCUGUCAUGCACAGAAUAGGCGGGAGACAGAGAAGCGAGGGCUUUGGCCCUUGUGGAGUCGCCUUUGGGAUACCGCCCUUGACAUGACGGAGUUCUAACCCUUGAGUCUGAAUCGACUGAGGGGACCCUGCCAGGCGGGCAGUUUGACUGGGGCGGUCGCCUCCCAAAGAGUAACGGAGGCGCGCGAAGGUUGCCUCGGGGCGAAUGGAAACCGCCCUUUAAGAGCGCAAGCGUAUAAGGCAGCCUGACUGAGAGACCGACGGGUCGAUCAGGGACGAAAGUCGGUGCUAGUGAUCCGGCGGUGCAGAAUGGAAUGGCCGUCGCUCAACGGAUAAAAGCUACCCUGGGGAUAACAGGCUGAUCUUGCCCGAGAGUUCCCAUCGACGGCAAGGUUUGGCACCUCGAUGUCGGCUCGUCGCAUCCUGGGGCUGAAGCAGGUCCCAAGGGUUGGUCUGUUCGCCCAUUAAAGCGGUACGUGAGCUGGGUUUAGAACGUCGUGAGACAGUUCGGUCCCUAUCCGCCACGGGCGCAGGGUAUUUGAGGAGAUCUGCUUCCAGUACGAGAGGACCGAAGUGGACGAACCGCUGGUGUACCGGUUGUGACGCCAGUUGCAUACGCCGGGUAGCUAUGUUCGGACCGGAUAACCGCUGAAGGCAUCUAAGCGGGAAGCCGUCUUCAAGAUAAGAUACCCCGUUUCGUAAGGAAGUAAGGCGUCCCGUAGACUACGGGUUUGAUAGGCCGGAGGUGUAAGCGCAGCGAUGCGCUGAGCUGACCGGUACUAAUACGCCGAGGCCUUUGUCUC